GCAAUUUCUGGUUGUUCUCGAAAGUACUCCCGACGUGAAGCCGGGAUUUUUAUACAAUUUUUGUGCGUUUGUGCAUCAUAAUGGAAUGUGCAGGUAAAUUGGACAUCAGGAAGCGAUGAGUGGCCGUUUCAAUUUGGCUGUUAAAUGGUAUGGAGUCAUUUAAUGAAUUCAGAAGUGGUUCAUUCUCAACUUUGUUUGGCUCUACCUAUCAUCGACAAAAUAUACUCUUGGCGGACCAAAGGAAUGCUUGGAAAACAUGGGCUAAUUUUGAUUUCCAAGUCAAAUUUGAUCCUAGGCCUUGAAGCGUAUUAGAACAGCUAUUUCGAGACCGCAGUGGUUACUCUCCAAUUUCAAUCGACAAAUAAUAUGGAACAACACAAAUUAGAACGUUUGAUUCGAGACUUCACUCUGUGCAAAACAAGCCUUUUAGCCUGGCCUUAUAUUAUCAAUAUUCAUCUAAUCUUUUUAAAA